rnacentral:tRNA from 1 species
GGUUGCAGCGGUUUACCGGCUUGGCUUUUAACCAAUUGGUCGCUGGUUCGAAUCCAGCACGACCCACCA